rnacentral:rRNA from 1 species
AUGGCCGACGCCGACGAGCUGUCACGGGGGCUGGCCUCGGACGCCGGCACCAACAACCUCUUCCAGGUGAUGCGCGCCGUCGAGGACGCCGAGGCCACCAUCCGACACCAGCUUGAGGAGAACAGCCGGCUCAAGGAGGAGCUGAUGCGCAAGACCCGGGAGCUCGACGCAAUCAGGUCCGAGGCUAUAAACCAAACCUCUACAAGUAGUCUUCUGGAUCAGGACCGGGCCGUCGAGCCCUACAGAGACUCGGUGGGGAAUCAGACGGUGGAGGACCAAAGAUUGCUUGGCACCUCGUCUUCGCCGCCAGGCUCUCAGGGCACUCUGCCUGGUCACCAGAAUGGGCCUGCCGAGCAGACGCUGCACGACGCCGUGAUGAAGCAAAAGUACCUGGACAGCGACCAGCCCGGUCGAGUGUCCAGAAAGCCAUCGGGGGAGCACAUCGCUGCUGAGGCUGGCGUGCGGUCUCACUUCUCUACCCCGUCGUCUCGAUCCCUCUCACCCACUAGGAACCGCAGGGAAGGAGACUACGAUUCUAGGCUCAGUUUAGCUGGCCAAGGCAUGGAGAUGAGCUCAAACAUCAUCUGGAAGCAGGAUCUUCUUGUUAAGGUCAAAGAACAUGAAGAAGAGAUUGCACAUUUAAGAAGACACCUUGCUGACUACUCAGUGAAGGAAGCCAAAAUACUUAAUGAGAAACAUGUUCUGGAAAAGCGCAUUGCAUAUAUGCGAAUGGCAUUUGAUCAGCAGCAACAAGAUUUGGUUGAUGCUGCGUCAAAAGCUUUAUCCUAUAGACAAGACAUCAUCGAAGAGAACAUCCGUCUGACAUACGCAUUGCAGGCAGCACAUCAAGAGAGAUCAACUUUCGUAUCUUCUUUGUUGCCUAUUCUGUCAGAAUAUAAUCUGCAGCCUUCUGUUCAUGAUGCUCAAUCAAUUGUUGGCAAUCUCAAGGUUUUGUUUACGCAUUUGCAAGAGAAACUCAUUAUUUCUGAGGAGAAACUGAAGGAAUCACAGUACCAGAUUACUCCUUGGCGUGCCGAAUCUUCAAAUAAUACAAGUGGUCCUGCGCAGUCACCUCCUCCUGGAAAUGCAUUGGUUGCUUCUAGCCAACCCAGCCUUGACAUUGUGCCCCAGCAACCAUAUUCUCAUGUACAAUCUCCAAUUUCUUCCCCCGUUCGAGCUAGACGGGAUUGGGAUUUACUGGCAAAUGACAACCGACAGGUCAUCUCAGCCGAGGCUGCUGCAACAACUACAGAGCAUGGCAAUGCUGGAAGGACCUCUCCUCCAAGCAGCAACCAAACUACCAAGGAUGUUUCAGCGCAAGGGACUGAGCGUGAUCCUCGUGCUGUACGAUUUAACCUUGAAUCCGAGGAUCAAAACCCAUCAUUCACAGACCUUGUUAGGAGUGAUGUAUCUGAAAAUCUCGAGGGAGCUGAGACCCAAGCUUCACAAGAACCUCCUGCGGAGUGGGGUUCUGAAGGCGCACCUAGCUCGGCAUCUGGCCCCGAUGAUGGAAACUUGCCUUACCCUUAUCUUCCUACUGUCCUUGAGGAGCCUAGUACUUCUUUCUCUGAAGUUGCAGAGGAUGGCCCACUGCCAGCCAUAGAUGGGCUAAGAAUCACAGGUGAAGCUUUUCCUGGAAAAGAACUUCAAGCAAGUGGGUAUUCCAUCAACGGGACCACGAGUUGUAAUUUUGAGUGGGUACGCCAUUUGGAAGAUGGAUCGGUGAAUUACAUAGAAGGUGCAAAGCAGCCCACAUAUUUGGUUACUGCUGAUGAUGUGGACUCUUUACUAGCCAUAGAGGUCCAGCCUCUAGAUGACCGGAAAAGAAAGGGGGAGAUCGUGAAGGUUUACGCUAAUGAGCAGAAAAAGAUUACUUGUGAUCCUGAAAUGAAGGAGCUCAUCAAGAAAAUUCUUUCCGCUGGACAUGUGUCAUAUGAAGUUCUACUACCUGUUAGAUUUAUAGAUAUGUGGGAACCUGCAGUAUUGGCAAUAAAGAGGGAAGGCUACAGCAUCAAGUGUAAUGGACAGCGUGGCGUUGUUAUCACAGAGAAAUUCCAGCAAGCUACAGCGAUCAAUAUCCCGUAUGGACAUCCAACCGAGUUCUCGAUCCAGUCUGCGGAUGGUGCCGAGUAUAAUCUCAAGCCUGGAGAGAACUCCCCGUCACGGGAUAGCAUCGUGCUCAUACUGCGGCUCUUCAGAAUGAAGGCCGUCGAGAAGAGCAAAGGAAGGAAGAAGGGCAUCUUCUUCAAGUAG